ensembl:lncRNA
GGGGGCUCCGGGCCUCCCGGUGCCCCGCUCCGGCCCCGCAAAUGGUGCCCAUGCCCGGCCCCCUCCUCCUUCUCCUCCUCCUCCUCGACUGCCCCGGCAGCGCGGCCGCCGGCCCUGCCAUCACAGCCGCACGCUUGCUCCCUGCUACUCAGCUGACCUCAGGCCUGCAUCGGGGAGACUCGUCUCGGCUAUGGGCUGCACUGUGCGUCUGACAGUUCCACCGCUGCAGGUCGGCAGAGCUGUCAUCUGGGAAUACAAAACUGCCCAGCAGGAAGGAGCCAUCCUCAGUUAUGCUUUCGAUGGACGCAGCAACACCUCUCACCCCUGUGAGAACCGUGUGAGGUUCAACAGAACGGACUUCUCACUGCAGAUGGUGCUGCAGUGGGGGGACGACCGGCUGUACCGCUUCAGGUCCGAGCUGGAGGCCACGGGCUGGUUCCAGCUGCAUGUUGUGGAACCGCUUUCCAAGCCAGAAAUUGUGGGCAACUCAUCAGUGAAGGCAGGAGACAACACCAAACUGGUUUGCAACAUCCUGAAAGGGAAGGCAGACUCGUACUGGUGGAAGAAAAACGGGGUGCUGCUGCUGAGGAGCGACCACAUUCAGCUUGAGAAUACCACCCUGUGCAUCCUGAGAGCCUUGAUGAAUGACAGCGGCUACUACGCUUGCGUGGUCCACAACAAAGUCAGCCAGAAUGAAACCUCCUUCCUGCUCCGUGUCCAGAACGCAGCAAACGUGGUGCUGCCCAUGAUGCUGGCGUGCAUUGCCCUGGGCUUGCUGGCAGGUCUCUUCGUGUGGUGCAGGUCAAGGGACCGCUAGUGUCACGGCGGCUCUAGGUCCCUGCUUCUGUAUGUCCCAGGACGUGGAAGAUGCCUGUGGGUAAAGAGGCGAAUGCCCGUUCCCAGCCCGCUGAGGGCAGGCCAAGCACGCAGAGGAUGCGCCAGGUGGCCAACAGGCAGCCCGAGGAAGCGCCUCAGGGCAGCCCGAGCCAGGCCUCGUCCCACCAUGGGAUCACGCUGCCACGGGUGCCCUACCCGGAGAGGUUUCAGCCUGUCGUCAACCAGCAGGCACAGGUGGGCAGCCUGGGGCACCGAGUGGUGCUGCCCUGCACCAGUGGGUCAACACAGGAGCAAACACCCCGUCUGCCAUCAUUGGUGGCAAUCGCACCCCGGCCACCACCUCAUUCAGCAAGAGCAGCUGUCAGCUACUGCGGGCUGCAACAUGUUCCACCAGCAGCCUCUCCACCUUCUGGCAGUGUCAGCGACUGGGCCAUCGGCAGCUCAAGCAGCAGUCAGUGUGCCCGAGAGGUCCACAGCCUCUGCCCCGACAAGUAAGACCUCAGACAUCAUGAGUGCAGUCGUGCGCAGGUACAGCACUGGGAGCCAGGGACCCUGGCAGCAGCCAGCAGCAUGGCAGAACCCAGCACAAAGCAGGGCUGCAGGGACACAAACAAGAAGAGACACUGUCCGGGUGGCCAACACCAGCAAGGCCCCAGCCACUCAGCCCUCACUGCGGAAUGCUGGGCGAGCAGCAGAGCAUGUGCCAGCAAUGCCGGCGGCUGGCAGCAAGGGCAGCCUCAACAGCAAGUCCCUGGGGCUGCACCAGAAGGUGUUUCCCCAGCGCCUGCCCCCACUGCCCAGCAAGAUCAAGCCUUCAGAGCAGCCAAAGAAGAGCUGCCUGGCAAGAGCUCAUGAGAAGCACCAGGCACCUCUCCCUCCAGUGGCACUGGCACGAGCGUCCCCUGACUUUGGCAAGCAGGCACCAGCACAGGCACGGAGACAGGCACCUGCCCCGCAGAGCACCAAAGUCAUGGAUGCAGCUCUGCAGGUGACAGCCGUGCGCAGAGGGAGGAAUCGUCUGGUCCAGUCUGUGGCUGUGGUCCAGGGAACCAACCAGCAGCGAGUAGAACACCAGGACAUGGCCCAACGUGAGGAUGUGGCAAUGGCAGCACUGUCCCAUGCAGAAGCAAAGGACAUAGAGUCUCCUGUGGCUGCAGGACCUCAGGGACAGGCCAGCAAAGCCCCUCUUGUCCCAGCAGCAGGCGAGGCUGGAAAAGAUGUGGUGUCUCCCAUGUUGGGAGACCAUCAAGAACAGGACAGCAGAGCCAUUGUCUCCUCAGAAGCACACAAGGUGGAAGUGGCAGCUUCAUUGCCUGACAUCGCUGUGGCAGAUGCUGGAACAUCCCAUCUGCAGAUGGACCUGCAGAGUGUGUCUCCUGCCCCAGACGGUCCAGCAGACAACGAGCCUGCAGCUGCUAGCCCGGCUGGAGCUGCUGAGGAAGAGCAGCACCGCGCAGCUCUCGCUGCCGUAGCAGAAGAGGAGGAGGAAGCAGCACCACCAGCUUCCCAUGGCUUUGAUGAGCUGGAGGCAGAAGCAGAGGUGCAAAGAAAGGCAUUUGCCCUGCUCAGCCCCACAGCCUCUGAGCUGGUUCGGCAUGAAAUAGCCAGGCGCUUUGUGAGUGGCAUCAUGUGCAAGGCUUUGGCUGUAAUCCAGGAAAUGGAUGAGCAGCCUCAGGAACACCAGGAGAUUGACAAAAGCCAAGUGGACGUGUCAAAGGGAGCAAUGAAGCCUGCAGCACUUGAGGACAUUGAGUCUCCUGUGGCUGUAGAGCCUCAGGCAGAGCCCAGCACAGCCCCUCUCAUCCCAGAGGCAGGCGAGCUUGGAGAAGACAUGGUGUCUCCCAUGUCUGGAGAACACCAAGAAGGGACCAAAACAGUAGAUGUCAGCCCAGCUGCAGAGGAAGAGGAGCACCGUGCAGCUCUUGCUGCUGUGGCACAACAAGACGAGAAGGCACUGGCACCAGCUUCCCACGUGUUUGACGAGCAGGAGGCAGAAGCAGAGGCCCGGAGGAAGGCAUUUGCUCUGCUCAGCCCCACAGCCUCUGAGCUGGUUCGGCAUGAAAUAGCCAGGCGCUUUGUGAGUGGCAUCGUGUGCAAGGCUUUGGCUGUCAUCCAGGAAAUGGAUGAGCAGCGUCUUGAACAGGAGGACAUGGCCCAAAGCCAUGUGGAUGUGUCCAUGGCACCAAUGACGCCUGCAACAGUUCAGGACCCAGAGUCUUCUGUGGCUGUAGAGCCUCAGGCAGAGCCCAGCUCAGCUCCUCUCAUCCUAGUGGCAGAACAUGAGGAAAAGGUGUCAACUUCAUUGCCUGAGAUCCCUGUGGCAGACGCUGGAACACCCCAUCUUGCUCCUGGAGCAGACGAUGAAGGAGAAGCAGCAGCUUCUCUCCCAGCUAAGGACUCUCAGCACCAGGAGGAGCCACUGGCCUUGCCCGCGAAGGAGGAGAAACAGUGUGUUGAGGACAUUGACAACAUGCUGUCCCAUGUAAAGGUCGUAAACGUACACAACAUCUGGGUCAACCACUUGGUGCCAGAGCUCUUCCAGGAGCACCGAGUGGAUAUCCAGAAGGGAUCCAGCAUCCGCAGCAGCAUGCGGGAGGAGAGGCAGCCAGAGACCUGCAGAGCGUGUCUCCUGCCCCAGCCGGUCCCAUGGACACCAAACCGGCAGCUCCGACCCUGGCUGGAGCUGCUAAAGAAGAGGAGCACCACGCACCGCUCACUGCUGUGGAACAAAAGGACAAGAGCCAAAACUUAGAUGUGGCCAUGGCAGCACCAUCGCCUGCACCAGUUGAGGACUCUGGAAAGGCUGAGCCUCAGGGAGAGCCCAGCACAGCCCCUCUCAGCCCAGCAGGAGAUGAGGAUGGAGAAGGCAUGGAGUCUCCCAUGCCUGGAGACCAACAAGAAGAGGUGAGCAGAACCGUUGUCUCCCUGGCAGCAGACGUGGGAGAUAUGGCAGCUUCUUUGACUGAGAUCCCUGGGGCAGACGCUGCAACACCCCACCUUGCCCCUGGAGCAGAUGAUGAAGGAGAAGCAGCAGCUUCUCUCCUGGCUCAGGACUCUCAGCACCAGGAGCCAGUGGACUUGCUUGAGGCGGAAGAGAAACAGUGUGUUGAGGACAUCAACAACAUGCUGGCCCAAAUGAAAGUCAUAAACAUAUGCAACAUCUGGGUCAACCACUUGGUGUCACAGUUCUACCAGAAGCCCCAGGCUCAUAUCCAGGAGGGAUCCAGCAGCCCCAGUGGCAUGGGCGUGGAUGCGGCAGGAGAGGCAGCCGGAGACCUGCAGAGCGUGUCUCCUGCCCCGGCCGCUGCAGUGAACACCGAGCCUGCAGCUCCUACCCUGGCUGGAGCUGCUGAGGAAGAGCAGCACCGCACACAUCUUGCUGCUGUGGAACAAGACGAGAAGGCACUGGCGCCAGUUUCCCAUGGCUUUGACGAGUGGGAAGCAGAAGCACAAAGAAAGGCAUUUGCCUUGCUCAGCCCAACAGCCUCUGAGCUGGUGCGGCAUGAAAUAGCCAGGCGCUUUGUGAAGGGCAUCGUGCAUAAUGCUUUGGCGGUCAUCCAGGAAAUAGAUGAGCAGCCUCAGGAACACCAGGAGAUUGACAAAAGCCAAGUGGACAUGUCAAAAGGAGCAAUGAAGCCUGCAGCACUUGAGGACAUCGAGUCUCCUGUGGCUGUAAGCCUCAGGCAGAGCCCAGCACAGCCCCUCUCAUCCCAGAGGCAGGCGAGCUUGGAGAAGACAUGGUGUCUCCCAUGUCUGGAGAACACCAAGAAGAGGCCAAAACAGUAGAUAUCAGCCCAGCUGCAGAGGAAGAGCAGCACCGUGCAGCUCUUGCUGCUGUGGCACAAGAAGACGAGAAGGCACCGGCUCCAUCUUCCCACGUGUUUGACAAGGAGGAGGCAGAAGCAGAGGCCCGGAGGAAGGCAUUUGCUCUGCUCAGCCCCACAGCCUCUGAGCUGGUUCGGCAUGAAAUAGCCAGGUGCUUUGUGAGUGGCAUCAUGUGCAAGGCUUUGGCUGUCAUCCAGGAAAUGGAUGAGCAGCUUCUGGAACAGGAGGAUGUGGCCCAAAGCAUGGAUGUGUCAAUGGCACCAAUGAGGUCUUUAGCAGUUCGUGACAUGGAGUCUCCUGUGUCUGCUGAGCCGCAGGAAGAGUCCAGCAUGGACAAGCAGCAGACAGCAGCACAGGCAUCUGCCCCAAGGUGAUAUACGGUUAUUGACAGAGCUCUGCAGGUCUCAUUCAGGCACAAAGUGAGGAGAGCACCUAAAAAGCAACAGGGAGAGGCCAGCACAGCCACUGCCUCCCCGCCAUUACAGAAGGAUGAACUGGCAGUGUCUCCUGCAGCUGUUCACGACACCGAGGACGAGCCAGGUAUGUCCCUGAGUCGAGUGGAACACAGGCCAGGCUGGCUGCAGCGUGUGCACGAGUUCGGCCGUGCCCCGGCCUCCCCUCCCUGGGCGAGGGCUGACAGCCUUCGGUGGAAAGCCCCUGCGGAAAGCCCUCGGUGGCACGUGGCAGCAGGAGCUUGCUCGGUGCCCGCCCAGCCCCGCGCCUACAUCUCUCCUUCCCCUGCAGGCAUCGCUGCCCUCCCAGGCGCAGGAGCAGUCCAAUGGCGACGACCACCCCACUUCAGAAGGGUGCUGAAGGCUCUGCGCAGGGCUUUCCGCUGCUCCUGCAUGAACCCGCAAGUGGAGGACUAGCGCCCCGCUGCCAGCUCCAGGCCCGAGGGAGCUGCGCUGAGGACAUCGUGCUGCAGCCUGCGCUCGCUGUGGACACUUUCUCGGGCCAAUAAACCAUAUCCCUUUCCC